rnacentral:rRNA from 1 species
GACGGAGGAUGCAAGCGUUAUCCGGAAUUAUUGGGCGUAAAGCGUCCGCAGGUGGACAUACAAGUCUGCUGUCAAAGUGCAGAGCUUAACUCUGUAAAGGCGGUGGAAACUGUAGGUCUUGAGUAUGGUAGGGGUAGAGGGAAUUCCCGGUGUAGCGGUGAAAUGCGCAGAUAUCAGGAAGAACACCCGUGGCGAAAGCGGCUCUCUGGAACGGUACUGACGCUGAGACGCGAAAGCGUGGGGAGCGAACAGG